rnacentral:rRNA from 1 species
UACGUAGGGUGCAAGCGUUGUCCGGAAUUAUUGGGCGUAAAGAGCUCGUAGGCGGUUCGUCGCGUCGGCUGUGAAAACCCGGAGCUCAACUCCGGGCCUGCAGUCGAUACGGGCGGACUCGAGUUCGGCAGGGGAGACUGGAAUUCCUGGUGUAGCGGUGAAAUGCGUAGAUAUCUGGAAGAACACCAAUGGCGAAGGCAAUGUUCUGGCUCGUUUCUGACGCUCAGGUGCGAAAGCCAGGGGAGCGAACGGG